rnacentral:rRNA from 1 species
AACGCGAAGAACCUUACCCAGGCUUGACAUCCUCUGUAAGCCGUAGAAAUACGGUCCUCAUCGCAAGAUGACAGGGAGACAGGUGCUGCAUGGCUGUCGUCAGCUCGUGCCGUGAGGUGUUGGGUUAAGUCCCGCAACGAGCGCAACCCUCGUCGCGUGUUGGUCCGCAAGGAUCUCUCACACGAGACCGCCGGUGAGAAGCCGGAGGAAGGUGGGGAUGACGUCAAGUCAGUAUGGCCCUUACGGCCAGGGCUGCACACGUACUACAAUGCCCGGUACAAAGGGAAGCGAGACUGCAAAGUGGAGCAAAUCCCCCAAAACCGGGCCCAGUUCAGAUUGUUGUCUGCAACUCGACAGCAUGAAGCUGGAAUCGCUAGUAAUGGCGCAUCAGCUACGGCGCCGUGAAUACGUUCCCGGGCCUUGUACACACCGAGUAUA